rnacentral:rRNA from 1 species
CCUACGGGGGGCAGCAGUGGGGAAUUUUGGACAAUGGGGGAAACCCUGAUCCAGCCAUGCCGCGUGCGGGAAGAAGGCCUUCGGGUUGUAAACCGCUUUUGUCAGGGAAGAAACGCUCUGGGCUAAUACCUCGGAGUAAUGACGGUACCUGAAGAAUAAGCACCGGCUAACUACGUGCCAGCAGCCGCGGUAAU